rnacentral:rRNA from 1 species
GACGAACGCUGGCGGCGUGCUUAACACAUGCAAGUCGAACGGAAAGGCCUGCUUUCCCUUGUGGAUUGCGGGUACUCGAGUGGCGAACGGGUGAGUAACACGUGAGUGAUCUGCCCCCAACUUGGGUAUAAGCCUGGGAAACUGUGUCUAAUUCCCGAUAGGACUGCAGGGUGGUGCCUGUGGUGGAAAACGAUUUUCUAGUGGUUGGUGAUGCGCUCGCGGCCUAUCAGCUUGUUGGUGGGGUAAUGUCCUACCAAGGCGGCGACGGGUAGCCGGCCUGAGAGGGUGGACGGCCACAUUGGGACUGAGAUACGGCUCAGACUCCUACGGGAGGCAGCAGUGGGGAAUAUUGCACAAUGGGCGGAAGCCUGAUGCAGCGACGCCGCGUGGGGGAUGACGGCCUUCGGGUUGUAAACUCCUUUCGACCGCGAGGAAGCCACCUGGUUGGAAGGGUGGUGACGGUAGUGGUAGAAGAAGCACCGGCUAACUACGUG